AUAUCAUGUUGAUACACUGGUUUUCAUAUGUUCACCAAAGUUAAGCAAUGUCAAGGCUGGUUAGUACCUAGAUGGGUGACCACUUGGGAAUGCCAAGUACUGUAAU